GAAAGAUACGCAUCGUGCAGCCUGGUGUACUUGCCCACGAUGGCGAUGUUCACGCUGCGCCUGCGCGCGGCGAUGCGGGCCAACAUCUCGUUCCAGUCGGUCAGGGCCAACCCUCUGAACUGAAACAUCUUAGUAGGAGGAGGAAAAGAAAGAAACAUCGAUUUCCUAAGUAGCGGCGAGCGAACGGGAAACAGCCUAAACCACAAUUGUUACGGCAACUGUGGGGUUGUAGGACUGCAAUAUUCAAAUGACUGUGAACUGGAAUGUUCUGGAAAGUUCAUCCAUAGAGAGUGAAAGACUCGUACAGGCAAGCACGUCAGGCGAUAGCAGUAUCCUGAGUAGGGCGGGACACGAGGAAUCCUGUCUGAAUCCGCCGGGACCACCCGGUAAGGCUAAAUACUCCCAAGAGACCGAUAGUGAACCAGUACCGUGAGGGAAAGGUGAAAAGAACCCCGAACAGGGGAGUGAAAUAGAACCUGAAACCAUACGCUUACAACCUGUCGGAGCGGCUUCGUGCCGUGACGGCGUGCCUAUUGAAUAAUGAGCCUACGAGUUACUAAUCACUGGCAAGGUUAAGUGCACGGAUGCACGGAGCCGAAGCGAAAGCGAGUCUGAAUAGGGCGUUUAGUCAGUGGUUGUAGACGCGAAACCUUGCGAUCUACCCUUGAGCAGGUUGAAGGUUGGGUAAAACCAACUGGAGGACCGAACGAAUAAGCGUUGAAAAGCUUCUCGAUGACUUGAGGGUAGGGGUGAAAGGCUAAUCAAGCUGGGAAAUAGCUCGUACUCCCCGAAAUGCCUUUUGGGGCAGCGUUGUAAUAAAGAGUCUACUGGAGGUAGAGCUACUGAUUGGAUGCGGGGGCUUCACCGCCUACCAAAUCCUGACAAACUCCGAAUGCCAGUAGUAUGAUUUACAGCAGUGAGUGACUGGGUGCUAAUGUCCAGUCGCAAAAGAGGAACAACUCAGACCAGCAACUAAGGUCCCGAAGAAUAUGCUAAGUUGAUCUAACGAUGUUUUGUUGCAGAGACAGCUAGGAUGUUAGCUUGGAAGCAGCUAUUCAUUCAAAGAGUGCGUAACAGCUCACUAGUCGAGCGACAGAGCGUGGAUAAUAAACGGGCAUCAAGCAUAUCACCGAAGUUCUGGGCGCGAGAGCGCGGUAGGGGAGCAUUCCAUUCAGCGUCGAAGCAGUUUCGUGAGGAAUUGUGGAGCGUAUGGAAAAGCAAAUGUAGGCAUGAGUAACGAUAAUGCGGGAGAGUAACCCGCACACCGCAAGACCAAGGUUUCCUGAUCAACGCUAAUCGGAUCAGGGUUAGUCGGGUCCUAAGGGUAAGCCGAACGGCGAUCUCGAUGGAUAAUCGGUUAAUAUUCCGAUACUAACAUAUACCUCGAUGGAGAGACGAAGGAACGUAAGUGCCGCCACCUGACGGAAUAGGUGGUUAAAGGGCGUAGGUAUAGGGGCAGAUUAAGAGUUAGUCCUUGCUGAAACCUGACAGUACAGAGAGCCUACGGGCAAUUUGAUAGAGCACCCAAGUCGACUUCCGAGAAAAUCUUCUAAGUUAUAGUAUAUGUUACCCGUACCGUAAACCGACACAGGUGGUCGAGGAGAGUAUCCUAAGGUGCUCGAGUGAAUCACGGUUAAGGAACUAGGCAAAUUAACCCCGUAACUUCGGGAAAAGGGGUCCCUAUGAAAGUAGGGCGCAGCGAAGAGGUCCAGGCGACUGUUUAUCAAAAACACAGGGCUCUGCAAAUUCGAAAGAAGACGUAUAGGGCCUGACACCUGCCCGGUGCUGGAAGGUUAAGAGGGGAUGUCAUCGCAAGAGAAGCAUUGAAUCGAAGCCCCAGUAAACGGCGGCCGUAACUAUAACGGUCCUAAGGUAGCGAAAUUCCUUGUCGGGUAAGUUCCGACCUG
rnacentral:rRNA from 1 species